GCCGCAGCAGCUUCGGCGGGGCGGUGCUCGGGCGGCCGGGGCGGUGCCGCGCGGGCCGCCCACUGAGCGGAGCGGCCGGGGAAGCCCUGGACUCGAUCGCCCCGCCCAGCUCCUGCGAGGAGAGCCGCGUUCUGUGACUGGACCGGCCCGUCCUCUGAACACGGCCGGUGUCCGAGCCGCAGGCUUGGCCAGUUUGCUGUCUGUUUGCUGAGUGUCCUAGGCUGGCUCCAAUCACCUACAUCAUUCACCUGUUAGCAGAAAAGCCCGCGGUUGUAGAGGUUAAAGAACAGAAGUUGUUCCAGAAAAAGGAAGGAAAGAGUGCAUGGAGCCAAGACAAAAGUGUUCAAGGACAUUACUGCUAAAUGACAGGAGCAACUGGGUUAAGGUGAACCAAGGAAAUUUGACCCGAAGUUCAGAGGACCUAUUCAUAACAGGUAAAUAUUGUAACUCAUUCUGUUAAAUUCCUUUGGUGAACAGGGGGUAAAAAAUUUUGUUAGCAA
rnacentral:lncRNA from 1 species